GCUAUCUGGACCGUUAAAGAUAUCUACCAGAGUGCCUGCGGAGAAUUUCUCAGAGCUUCUCAGAGCCUUGAGAAGCUUUAGCAUAUACUCGUGAGAUUUCUAUCGGCACGAAACUACAUUUGAAGCUUCUCUAUUCCGGAGCAAGGGACAUGUGAACAUCGAUUUUGGAGUUCCUCUUUGUUGGAUGUAUCAUUGCAGAAUAUGCGGAUGGGCAAAUGGCAUUUGGGAAGCCAAAAAAUCUUCGUGUCGACUGCCGCGAAUAUUAUUGAAGUAUUGACCUACUAAAUAAAAAAUAUGCACUUCAUGGAUGCUUCUUCUCUUCAUUCAUGGCCUCUAAAAUUUCGCGAGCCACAGGUUUUCCAGUUACUUCAAUACUGAUAUGUUUCUCCCGAUGAUGCUUUGGAUCGUAUUUCCUGGGGGCUGUAAUGGUCA